rnacentral:rRNA from 1 species
UCUCUGCUCCAACGAUUUUUUAAAUUGCUGUGGUAUUUUGACUAUACGAAGGUAUUGAAAUAAGGCUUUAAUUGAGUGCUAAGAGAAUGAUUUAACAAAAAUUGACUUUCUUUUUAUUUAAAAUAAAAAUUGAUUUAAUAAUGAAAAAGUUUUUAUGAAUUUUUGGGACAAGAAGACCCUAUGAAUUUUAUUUAAAAUUUUAUUUACUAUUAAUAAAGGAAAAUAAAAUAUUAUUUUAAAUUGGUUGGGGUGACUUUUAAAGAAUGAAUAUCUUUAAAAAGUAAAUAAUUUGAACCUUAAUUUAAGGUUAUUUGUAAAAAAUACUCUAGGGAUAACAGCGUAAUUAUUUUGGAUAGUUCAUAUAGAUGAAAUAGUUUGCGACCUCGAUGUUGGAUUAAGAUAUUUAUAUGAUGUAGAAGUUAUAUAAAAAGUUGCUCAACCUAU